rnacentral:piRNA from 1 species
UUAGGAUAAGCCAUACAGGAAGAAACCU